rnacentral:rRNA from 1 species
UACAGAGGGUGCGAGCGUUGUCCGGAAUCACUGGGCGUAAAGGGCGCGUAGGCGGCCAGGUAGGUCAGCUGUGAAAACUCGAGGCUCAACCUCGAGCUGUCGGCUGAAACCAUCUGGCUAGAGUCCGGAAGAGGAGAAUGGAAUUCCCGGUGUAGCGGUGGAAUGCGUAGAGAUCGGGAAGAACACCCGUGGCGAAGGCGGCCGGCUGGGCCGGAUCCGACGCUGAGGCGCGAAAGCGUGGGGAGCAAACAGG